AUUGAACGCUGGCGGCAUGCUUUACACAUGCAAGUCGAACGGUAACAGGCCUUCGGGUGCUGACGAGUGGCGAACGGGCGAGUAAUGCAUCGGAACGUGCCCAGAGGUGGGGGAUAACGCAGCGAAAGCUGUGCUAAUACCGCAUGUGAUCUGAGGAUGAAAGCGGGGGACCAAGCAGCAAUGUUUGGCCUCGCGCCUCUGGAGCGGCCGAUGUCAGAUUAGGUAGUUGGUGGGGUAAAGGCCUACCAAGCCGACGAUCUGUAGCUGGUCUGAGAGGACGACCAGCCACACGGGGACUGAGACACGGCCCAGACUCCUACGGGAGGCAGCAGUGGGGAAUGUUGGACAAUGGGCGGAAGCCUGAUCCAGCAAUGCCGCGUGCGGGAAGAAGGCCUUCGGGUUGUAAACCGCUUUUGUACGGAACGAAAAGGCUCUGGCUAAUACCUGGGGCUGAUGACGGUACCGUAAGAAUAAGCACCGGCUAACUACGUG
rnacentral:rRNA from 1 species